UCACACUCUGCCUCCACCUGUAAUGCCUUGCCCCUUUCUUCUACCUGGAGGAUUCCUGCUCAUGCUUUAAAAUCAAAUGCCAUCGCCUCUAGCUCCGGCUUAGCCCCAGCCCCUUCAUGGCACACGGUUCUCCGGACGUCCCGUUACCGCACUUCCCACCUGCCUGGGCGACUUUACGUGGCAAUAAUCCAUUUCUGUGUCUGCCUCCCAGUGAACUGUGCAAUCCUACGAGGCGGCGCCCAUGGUUGUCCUUUGUGCCACAGUGGUGGCCCCAGAAUGUGAUGUUUGCUGCGCAGCAGAGACCCUAGCAGCCCCUUGCACGCGCCUGCCUCCAUUCUAAGUACCCCGCGAUGCUCACCAUUAUAACCCGAGGCAGUGGGUACCAGCGUCAGCGCGACCCUACAGAUGAGGAAACCGAGGCACGGCGACAUUAAAAAGUUACGAGGCCAUUAGGUGGCACAGCCAGAUUUUGAGUCCAGGAAAUCUGCCUCGAGAGCCCUAAUUUUUAACCAGGAUGCCAUAAUGCCUCCAAGUAAAUAAAUGAAUAAAGUAACUGGAAGUCACUGGACUCCUCCUAAGGCCAAGGUCCUCUGGGUUUCAACUUCUGAAUUCCCAAGAACAGCAGCCACACUGGGGAUCGGGGCGAGGAGGGCACCUGCGAAGUCAACCCAGCCUUUCGGCUGCAGGGGCUCAAAAUGGUACAGGCCCGGCCGGAACCAAAGAGCCCAGCGCUCUGGUUACUUGUCCAAGCUGACAUGUCCUCACCCACAAGAACCAGAAAAUCCACUCAGAGUUUCCCAUACCCACCCCCAGGGCCACCCUGCAUCCUUCCCAUUAUAAGGAAACUUGAGAUUCUGAGGUUUCUUCCUGAGGAGCUAGUUCCAAACACAACGCACAUGGAAAAAGAGGCAAGAUUUACCACCGACUCUCCACGCCAGUGGCCAGUGGUUUCUGCCUAUGCACUUCAGGAUUCUUUCUUGGAAUUGGGCUGACGGAUCUGUGGGGGCAUGAAGGCCUGUCUGGGGCCCCCACCCCACUCAGCUGCUGAUGGUGUGGCUCCCUCAGGGUGAGGCUGGCCUGUCUACCAUUGUUGCCUCACAGCCCAGAUAACCAAUAUGGUCGGAAGCCCCAAAAUGCUGCCUCAAGGGCCUGUACUCUCACUCUCUUCUCCAAACCUGCUCAGAGCUGCCCUCGGGGAAGAAGAGUUGGAUCUGGUGAGUAAGACUGCUGGUAAGCAGUCAGAAUAUGAGGAGAAACCAACACCCCCAGGCUGACAGAGAGAUGGGAGAACGAGUCUCCAGGGGGCGAGCACAGAGGAAGGUCGGACUCCAGCUUGGGGACCAAGGCCGUGGGCUGGACCCCACCAUUCCCUAACUGAGAGCCUCGCAAUUUCUGGAUCCUUCUCAAACCUACUGAGUUACAUUCUCCAGAGGAAGCAUCCAGGAAUCUGUAUUUUCAAAGACCGCCUCCCCCCCCCCCCGCCCCCCGCCCCGGAUGCUUCUGAAGCACAACCACAAUUAUACAGCACCGUACAAAGGUUGGUGUUGCUGCGAUUCUGUGGAGAGAUAGCAGGUCUGGGUACUAUGCUAAGAGGGAACCCUCUAGAGCUGCCUGAGUUCCAAGUGGAGGAUUUCUAAGGGGUGUCACUUCACGACGGAGGUCCAGGGAAGAAGUCCAAUGAAUUUAGGGAAUCCGUGAACUCGGGGAGUGCAGCUCUCCACGGACGUGUAGAUGGUUCCUUCUGCCUUCAAACGUUCUCCUGGCAAGAGAACAGCCCCCUAAAUACACAGAGGCACGCAGACAGUGCCCCUCUGUCUCAGAACCUGCAGAAGCUAUAAGUUCCAGAGGGAUACCCACAGUAGAAGCCAACCGUCAAGUGUUUGAGGCUACCCAGGAGUACAAGGGAGAACCAGGCGGGCACCUGUCCCUACUGAGGGGAGCGCCCGAUGCCGAAGCGAAAGUCCUGCAUAGCCAGGAAGCGAGAGCAGAAGCCCUGGGACCUGGAGCCCGCCGGGCCCCCCACCAGGACCAGCGAUGAGCAAACCACUACCCUCUCUUGUGCCUCCGGCUUUCAUCUGUGAAACGUGGACACAACUUGUCCGCUACAGGAAGCUUCCGUGAGCAUCAAAUGAAAUAACGGAUGUGAAGGGUUGCAGGGCAUUACGAAAAGCCGUGCAAAUACAACGCAACGUUUCUGUUCUUCCAAAGGAGCAGGACUACCGCACCCUCCCACAAACACGAAACUUUUCUCCAAAGAACCAGAAGUUUGUGCAACCGAUUCGUUCAAUACCAAGUAGCCUCUGUGAAUCUCAUGCUUCGCCUCCCCGAGGAAAAGAAGCCUCACUCCCCUAAGAGACCGCCCCAAAGAAGCGCAUAGCUUGCCGCUGGAUCUCACCCACCGCGGGACCCCAGUGCAGGUGGAGUGCACUAACCGACGUGGGAGGGGAGGGGUGCUGCAACCUCGAAGAGGUUAUGUUAGGUGACUUCGAAAAGAAGGGUUAAAAGUGAAAGAGAUCCUGGAAGGCUUUUCAAAACCACUAAGUAACAAAUGUAGCUCCCACCUCCCACCCACGCACCACUGGAAAUAACUUUAAAUAAUGCAUCUGAGAAUGUCUGCAGAACAGGCAGUCUGGAUUAAGGCCUUUUGAAGGGAUGGCGUUCCAACAAGGAUCCUUUCAGGCACAUCAUCAUGAGAACCACUGAAUUCUCAGGCAAGUUCACCCUGACAAGUAUCUUUAGCCAAGACUGGCGACAUCGCUGAGAUCUUGGCGUGCUAACUCCCCCCACGUGGAAAAAGACUUUAUGGCCAAAAAGGCCUGGGAGCCCUCCCGGCCACUGCGUUACCCCAACUCUUACCCCAACAGUGUUGUGUGGAAGGCUCGCCUACUCUGUGUGACCAGAAUUCCAUAAAGAGCCUGGCUGGUCGCUGGGAUGUUGUAGAAACGCGGCCAUCGCCAUUUACUCUCUUUAACAAGCAUCGAUCGAACCCCUACCUUGUGCCGGGCGCUGUUCUGGCCCUUCGGGAUGCAGCGGGGAACAAAACAUACACAAAUCUUCGCCCUCGUGCAGCCUGUGUUGUUGGACAGAGGGCGGACAAGAAAUACGUAGAUAUACGCCCGUGCCUUCCAGCAAGUAUUUUGGACAGGAGUAAGGAGGGAACGGUGGGAGGGACUCCCUGUCCUACGCAGGGUGGUCAAAGAUCACCACCGGUGAAUCCGGGAGGGAGCGAAGCAUGCGGCCAUCUGCGGGAAGAGCCUUCCUGGCAGAGAUCAGCGGGCACAAAAUGCUCCCGCCAGUGGCACACUGAAUGCACUCCAGCAACAAGCAGUAGGGCCUGAGGCUUCCGUUGAAUGAGCAAGGAAGGUGACGGAGAGAAGAUUGACAGGUAGCAAGGGAACACCCCCGGUAAGGACUUGCAGCCUUCAGAUUUUUACCUUGACCGUGAUGGAGAAAACAUGGGGGGCAUUUGGGGGUGGUGGAGUAGUACAAUCUCUCCUAUGCUUUAGAAGGAUCUCGGUGACCGAGGUGCCUAUUUGCACCCUAAGGAGAUGCUGAGCACAGAGGCUGGAAAACACGAGAGGGGCCUGGGCUGGGGACGGAAUGGAGGGGCUGUCAGCCCAUGGCUGGUAUUCGAAGCCAGGAGUCUGGAUGAGACAGAAGAGAAGAGGUGCGUGUCUCGGCCGGGGGGGCCUCCAACUCUCACAGCGAGCGGACAGGAACCUGCACAGGGGUCAGGGCAGAAGCAGCCAAUGGGGUAGGGACACUCAGAACUGACUCCCGGCCGCCCCGGGUCUGCCGCAAGCGUCUCUCUCUCAAAAUAAACAAAGAUUAAAAAAAAAAUUUUUUUUCAUGUUUAGUUAUUGUUGAGAGACAAAGCAUGAGCGGGGGAGGGGCAGAGAGAGAGCGAGACACGGAAUCCGAAGCAGGCUCCAGGCUCCGAGGUGUCAGCACAGAGCCCGACGUGGGGCUCAGAAUCACGAACCACAAGAUCAUGACCUGAGCCAAAGUCGGACGCUCCACCGACGGAGUCACCCAGGCGCCCCAGAAGUUUAAUUCUUCUUCAAGACUCCGUUCUUAAUGCUUUAGGUUUUGCAAGAAGAGAAACAGCUAGAAUGAUCUCUCCAGCUGCUAACGCUGUCACUGCCUUUGCUUACAGGCUCCCUGGCUCAUACGAUGGGAUAGGUGCUGGGUUCUGAUGAGCUAAUGCAUGACACAAGUCUUUUGAUCUCAGAGACUUACUUGGAGGAGGUGGAGGGAGAAGGAAUAUAAUCCUUUUCAAGACUUUCACGUGAGGGGCACCUGGGUGGCUCCGUCGGUGAAGUGUCCGACUUGGGCUCAGGUGAUGAUCUCACAUCACGGUCUGUGGGUUUGAGCCCCGUGUCGGGAUCUGUGCUGAUAGCUCAGAGCCUGGAGCUUGCUUCGGAUUCUGGGUCUCUCUCUCUCUCUGCCCCUCCCCUGUGUCUCUGUGUCUCUCUCAAAAAUAAACAUUAAAAAAAAAAAAAAAAAGACUUUCAGGUCCUUGAAAGCUUCCUCAGUGGUUUCUUUUCUGCCACUAACGUCACUAAAGUGACUCUCAGAUUCCCACAUACUCCAGAAAGUUUCCCGGGUCAAUUUAGCACAGACACAGGAUCGUGGACACUAGUGCGCAUCUAAACCAAGCCCCUGAAGAGGACAACGAAGCUCAGAGAGAGGACUGACUUUCUGUCCCUCCCCAUGAUUAGCUGUGUGGUCUCGGGCAGUUACUUUCAACCUCAGUGCGCUAGUCAAGGCAUCUGUAAAAUGGGCAAUUACAAGAACACCCGCCAUCUUGGGUUCUGAUGAGAAUUAAGAUCGUCGUUACGUGCGCGAUUCUUAGAACGGUGGCUGGCACGUGCUACGUGCUCAACGGUGUCAUCCUUAAUUUCUAUCGCACAAGUCCCUCAGAGGGUUUGUGUCGGAGGAGCAGGGUCAUAAGGCAGUCCGACCUGACACAAACCCUGACACACAACCUUAUCCUUCCCUCCACAAAAGGCACAACCACCGUGAGUGAGCUUUUGAUCUCUGCCCCUCUGUGAUUGCUUUAUCCACUCUAACGGAAAAGAUUUUCUGUAUCCCACACUAUGAAUUAAAAAGGACUAUUAUCGGGGCGCCCGGGUGGCUCAGUCCGUUGAGCGUCCGACUUCGGCUCAGGUCACGAUCUCACGGUCCGUGAGUUCGAGCCCCGCGUCGGGCUCUGGGCUGACAGCUCAGAGCCCGGAGCCUGUUUCCGAUUCUGUGUCUCCCUCUCUCUGACCCUCCCCCGUUCAUGCUCUCUCUCUGUCUCAAAAAUAAAUAUACAUUAAAAAAAAUU